rnacentral:lncRNA from 1 species
CACUAUGGAGGGAACCUUGAACAGUUUAAGGGGCACUAUUCUCACUAUUGAGCGGACUUCUUCCAAGAGAAAGUCUACUGAAAAGAAGAAGGCAAAAUCUGUUAAGAAGUAGAAAAAAAAAUAGGCCAAAGAAGGAAGUUCCUAGCAAGACCGAAGUAAAGAAAAAAUAUUUUCACUGUCAUGCUAAAGGCCACUGAAGGAGCAACUGUCCAAAAUAUCUAGAGAGCCUAA